rnacentral:tRNA from 1 species
GUAGUAUAAACAGUCAACACGCUUGGCUGCUAACCAAAAGGUUGGUGGUUCAAAUCCACCC